rnacentral:rRNA from 1 species
AGCUCUUCCUUAGCCUCACAAUUAGUACAAACAAACCCUUAGGCUUAAGAGCUAUUCAAAUAAGGCACAGCUUAUUUGAAACAGGACACAACCUAUAACAUAGGGUAAACAAAAGUGAUUAAAAUAAAGUGGGCCUAAAAGCAGCCAUCUUUAAAAAAGCGUUAAAGCUUAACUAUUUUCCACUUAUAAUACCUAAACUUCCCACUAACCCCUCACCACUAUUGAACGAUUUUAUAUCUUUAUAAAAGCUAUCAUGCUAGAACUAGUAACAAGAAAUUGCCUUUCUCCUAAAUGUAAAUAUAAACCAAAAUAGACUAUCUAUUGGUUAUUAACGUAAAUGCUAAAUUAUAGUAACACUCACUAGAAAAUCCUAUAACCCCCAACGUUAACCUUACACUAGAACAUUACAGGAAAGAUUAAAAGAAAAAGAAGGAACUCGGCAAAUUUUAGCCUCGCCUGUUUACCAAAAACAUCGCCUCUUGAUAAAACAUAAGAGGUCCAGCCUGCCCAGUGACAAAGUUUAACGGCCGCGGUACCCUAACCGUGCGAAGGUAGCAUAAUCACUUGUUCUUUAAAUGAGGACUCGUAUCAACGGCACUACGAGGGCUAUACUGUCUCCUUUUUCCAAUCAGUGAAACUGAUCUCCCCGUGAAGAAGCGGGGAUGAAAAUAUAAGACGAGAAGACCCCAUGGAGCUUUAAACUCACCAUGCACCUCUAUGCCCUUAUAUCACUAAACAUAAGACACCUGCAUGAUAGUUUUAGGUUGGGGGGACCACGGAGUAUAAUAUAACCUCCACAACAAAUGGGCUAACACCCUUAUCCACGAGACACAACUCUAAGAAUUAUUAAACUAAUGCUUAUGACCCGAUAAUCGAUCAAUGAACCAAGUUACCCUGGGGAUAACAGCGCAAUCUACUUCAAGAGCCCAUAUCGACAAGUAGGUUUACGACCUCGAUGUUGGAUCAGGGUAUCCCGGUGGUGCAGCCGCUACUAAUGGUUCGUUUGUUCAACGAUUAAAACCCUACGUGAU